rnacentral:tRNA from 1 species
GCGCCGAUGGUGUAAGGCAUAGCAUCUCUGCCCGGAAAGCAGAACGUGCGGGUUCAAGUCCCGCUUGGCGCA